rnacentral:tRNA from 1 species
GACGGCUCAGCUGGUUAGAGCGUGGUCCUGAUAACGCCAAGGUUGCAGGUUCGAUCCCAGUUAAGGGACA